rnacentral:rRNA from 1 species
GAUGAACGCUGGCGGCGUGCCUAAUACAUGCAAGUCGAGCGAACAGACGAGGAGCUUGCUCCUCUGACGUUAGCGGCGGACGGGUGAGUAACACGUGGAUAACCUACCUAUAAGACUGGGAUAACUUCGGGAAACCGGAGCUAAUACCGGAUAAUAUAUUGAACCGCAUGGUUCAAUAGUGAAAGACGGUUUUGCUGUCACUUAUAGAUGGAUCCGCGCCGCAUUAGCUAGUUGGUAAGGUACCGGCUUACCAAGGCAACGAUGCGUAGCCGACCUGAGAGGGUGAUCGGCCACACUGGAACUGAGACACGGUCCAGACUCCUACGGGAGGCAGCAGUAGGGAAUCUUCCGCAAUGGGCGAAAGCCUGACGGAGCAACGCCGCGUGAGUGAUGAAGGUCUUCGGAUCGUAAAACUCUGUUAUUAGGGAAGAACAAAUGUGUAAGUAACUAUGCACGUCUUGACGGUACCUAAUCAGAAAGCCACGGCUAACUACGUG